rnacentral:rRNA from 1 species
CCAGACUCCUACGGGAGGCAGCAGUGGGGGAUAUUGCACAAUGGGGGGAACCCUGAUGCAGCGACGCCGCGUGGGUGAAGAAGUAUUUCGGUAUGUAAAGCCCUAUCAGCAGGGAAGAAGAAUGACGGUACCUGACUAAGAAGCACCGGCUAAAUACGUGCCAGCAGCCGCGGUAAUACGUAUGGUGCAAGCGUUAUCCGGAUUUACUGGGUGUAAAGGGAGCGCAGGCGGUUCUGCAAGUCUGAUGUGGAAGCCCGGGGCUCAACCGCGGGACUGCAUUGGAAACUGCAGGACUGGAGUGUCGGAGGGGUAAGCGGAAUUCCUGGUGUAGCGGUGAAAUGCGCAGAUAUCAGGAAGAACACCGGUGGCGUAGGCGGCUUACUGGACGGCAACUGACGCUGAGGCUCGAAAGCGUGGGGAGCAAACAGGAUUAGAUACCCGAGUAA